UACGUAGGGUGCAAGCGUUAAUCGGAAUUACUGGGCGUAAAGCGUGCGCAGGCGGUUUUGUAAGACAGUGGUGAAAUCCCCGGGGCUCAACCUCGGAACUGCCAUUGAUACUAGUAGCCUUGAAUUAUGUUGAGGUUGGCGGAAUAUAACAUGUAGCGGUGAAAUGCUUAGAUAUGUUAUGGAACACCGAUUGCGAAGGCAGCUGGCUAAACAUAUAUUGACGCUGAUGCACGAAAGUGUGGGUAGCGAACAGG
rnacentral:rRNA from 1 species